GCCCAGGUAGCUCAGUUGGUAGAGCAGCGGACUGAAAAUCCGCGUGUCGUUGGUUCAAUUCCGACCCUGGGCACAA
rnacentral:tRNA from 1 species